rnacentral:rRNA from 1 species
UACGUAGGGCGCAAGCGUUGUCCGGAAUUAUUGGGCGUAAAGAGCUCGUAGGCGGCUUGUCACGUCGGAUGUGAAAGCCCGGGGCUUAACCCCGGGUCUGCAUUCGAUACGGGCAGGCUAGAGUUCGGUAGGGGAGAUCGGAAUUCCUGGUGUAGCAGUGAAAUGCGCAGAUAUCAGGAGGAACACCGGUGGCGAAGGCGGGUCUCUGGGCCGAAACUGACGCUGAGGAGCGAAAGCGUGGGGAGCGAACAGG